rnacentral:rRNA from 1 species
GAUGAACGCUGGCGGCGUGCUUGACACAUGCAAGUCGAACGGAAAGGCCCAAGCUUGCUUGGGUACUCGAGUGGCGAACGGGUGAGUAACACGUGGGUGAUCUGCCCUGCACUUCGGGAUAAGCCUGGGAAACUGGGUCUAAUACCGGAUAGGACCACUUCUUGGAUGUUGUGGUGGAAAGUUUUUUCGGUGUGGGAUGAGCUCGCGGCCUAUCAGCUUGUUGGUGGGGUAAUGGCCUACCAAGGCGUCGACGGGUAGCCGGCCUGAGAGGGUGUACGGCCACAUUGGGACUGAGAUACGGCCCAGACUCCUACGGGAGGCAGCAGUGGGGAAUAUUGCACAAUGGGCGCAAGCCUGAUGCAGCGACGCCGCGUGGGGGAUGACGGCCUUCGGGUUGUAAACUCCUUUCGCUAGGGACGAAGCGUUUUGUGACGGUACCUGGAGAAGAAGCACCGGCUAACUACGUG